rnacentral:rRNA from 1 species
GAUGAACGCUGGCGGCGUGCCUAUUACAUGCAAGUCGAGCGGACAGAAGGGAGCUUGCUCCCGGAAGUUAGCGGCGGACGGGUGAGUAACACGUGGGCAACCUACCCUGUAGAUCGGGAUAACAUCGAGAAAUCGGUGCUAAUACCGGAUAAUCAUUUGAAGUGCAUGCUUCGAAUGUAAAAGAUGGCUCCGGCUAUCACUCCGGGAUGGCCCCGCGGCGCAUUAGCUAGUUGGUAAGGUAAUGGCUUACCAAGGCAACGAUGCGUAGCCGACCUGAGAGGGUGAUCGGCCACACUGGGACUGAGACACGGCCCAGACUCCUACGGGAGGCAGCAGUAGGGAAUCUUCCGCAAUGGACGAAAGUCUGACGGAGCAACGCCGCGUGAGUGAUGAAGGUUUUCGGAUCGUAAAGCUCUGUUGUUAGGGAAGAACAAGUGCCGUUUGAAUAAGGCGGCACCUUGACGGUACCUAACCAGAAAGCCACGGCUAACUACGUGCCAGCCGCCGCAGUAAUAC